rnacentral:rRNA from 1 species
UACGGGAGGCAGCAGUGGGGAAUAUUGGACAAUGGACCAAAAGUCUGAUCCAGCAAUUCUGUGUGCACGAUGACGUUUUUCGGAAUGUAAAGUGCUUUCAGUUGGGAAGAAAAAAAUGACGGUACCAACAGAAGAAGUGACGGCUAAAUACGUGCCAGCAGCCGCGGUAAU